rnacentral:ncRNA from 1 species
AACCGCCGUAUACCGAACGGUACGUACGGUGGUGUGAGAGGACAGAUAGGGGAUUAACCCCUAUCUUCCUACUCGAU